AUACAUCGGCGGACAGCAACAGUUUAAACAAGUCCAGAUUUGAAUCUUUACUCUCAGUCUUACUGCGAUUAGUCCGUGAAGUCUUGAAACAAGAUGAAGACGAGUAUUCUAUCCGCCAUCUUUCUUGUCAUGGUACUGGCCUCCAGUGUCUACCAAACUACUGCCGUCAGUGCCAGUCGUUUGUCGCGCAGUGCUGAAUCUCAUGGCGAUCCAGAUGUCCAGGAGGAAGACAAGUCUACGGACAAAAGAUGCAAGUGGAAUCCAAUCUACUGUUUUGACGACUAAUGUCACUCGUGUUUCUGACGUCACCAUCAAUGCUGCGCUGAAGUGUCACAAGAUCAACAACUCAACAUCAAGAUAUUUGAAUAUCAGAAGAAACAAUGAAAAGACCAUAUCAAAAUAUGAAAAAGGGUUUUCUUAGGAAGUAGUUAAAUUAACUAUUUGCGUUCCAUGUUUUGGGAAAUACUUUCUUCUUCGAUCAGAAGUUUCUACAUUACAAAAUACAAAUGAUUAUAUUGACAGUAUGAAUGAUGAAUCAUUAAAAAAUCUAUAUGUCAAAUAGCGCAAAGCAGUUGGUGAAAGAAUUAAACAAAAACGUUAAAAACGA